AUAUUUCAUGGAAAGAGUACAAGUCUAUGACUUUCACACACAUGGUUAUAAAUGAAACACUUAGGCUUGCAAAUAUUACUCCUGGGAUUUUGCGCAAAGUUGUCAAGGAAGUUGAAGUAAAAGGGUAUACAAUUCCUGCUGGCUGGACGGUAAUGGUUUGUCCAUCAUCUGUUCAUUUGGAUCCUAAUGUAUAUGAAAACCCCCAUGAAUAUA